UGGUAACUGUCCAGUCCCCAAGGGGCUUGUUCUGUCCAGCUGUUUACAUUGUGGGAACAGAUGUAAUCAAGUUCUUCCUGGGCUGCUAUGUGUCCCCCUCAGGCCUCUCCCUCAUUCCGACUGCAGCCCCUGUCACAUGUCCUGGGCACACCCAGGAUGACCCACACAGACACAUGAGCUGCGUGCUCUUGGCCCGGCAGGGUGAACAGCAGGGGUGGUGCCAUUUCCUGAGGAGCAGCUUGGCUGGACUGGAGGUUGGGGACAGUCGGAGGGUAGAGGAGCCGAUGCAGCUUCUCCAAGCUAGGCGGAGAUCCAAAGGAAACACGGCUGGAGACAGGAGAAGCAAGCCAGGUGACCCAGCUGACAUCCUGGGCAGAAACCCAGCUUGGCAUCCUAUGGCCACUGUCACCUGUGCUUACGUACUUGGACCAGAACAAGGGCUGGUGAACCAGGGCUGAGCAGGGACUCCAGCCAGCAGCCUGCUGUCUGAACACUCUGGAGUCGGCUUCCGAGACGCAGUGGUGGACUCAACAAAGCCCGAAAUACGAACCAUCUGGUGCUUUACCGGAAAGCUUUGAAGAAGCAGGACUGGAACCACGUCUGUCUGGACCAAGCACUUAGUGCUUUCCUGCCUGGGUCUCCGUGAUAGAUCAAGCACCUCCAAAAUACAAAUUCCUAUCCACGACAAGGUCUUGCUAUAUUCUUUAGGGCCUCGAUAAG